rnacentral:lncRNA from 1 species
GAAAUAAGAGGACUGAACUGAAAAUGAAGGGGGUUGAAAAGAAAACCAAAAAUUCUAAUUGUUCACCCUCUUGGUCCCUAUAAAUUGACAUUCUCAUUCCUUAGGAAGAGGACUUUCUUCAGCCAGAAAAACUACCCAAAAAGCACUCUUCACUCCCCAGAUCUGGAAUUCAAUUUCCAGUUCAAAAAUUGCUUUUAGAUCCUAAUUUCUUCAAAAGAAAAACCAAAAAAAAUAGAAAUGGCUGAAAAUCAAAAAAACUGUUGUGCUUAAUUAAUUUCCAAUUUUAGGUAGUUUGGGUUGCAUUAUUAUCUCAAGUUCUGGUAGUUGAAGUUCAACAUCUUUCCUGGUUCAAUUUCGAGUGGCUUCUGAGUUUAAACGAGCCAUAUUUGGAAUCAGUUAUUGGAUUUGUAAUUGUGGUGGUAUUUCUAAGUGUGUUCUGUUCAAUCUGGGUGUUGCAGUUGGAUUGAUUUUUACGUGUGAAAUUUCAAAAUAUCUUUGAACUCUUAGACUGGCUUUGGAUUGCCUGUGGUUAUCUCUGUUGGUUGCUGUUGAUUACUUGUUGUAGCUGACCUAUUCUCUUUCUUCUUAUUACGUUUCUAUUUCCAGGUAUUCUCCUUGGCCUUGUAUUAACUACGAGGGAUCUGUGUAAUUUGGCUUGAAGAUCAAAUGAAUAAACAUGUUCGAAUUAGUUGCGGAUUUCAUUUGACAUCUGUUUAAUUCUUAUAUGUGAUGUAGUUCUGUUUAAAUGAAUGAUAUACCUGUAAUUGAAGAGAACUUUGUUGUAAUAGACAAUUGAUUAAUGGUUGUAUAUACUUGGGAGCUAGAGACUGAGUAUUAACAAUAUUUUAGAAUGGCUUGAGUCAAUUUGAAAACCUUUGGUUGCUCUAUGUUAUUGAAUCACGCAUCUAGGUUGUUGUCCAUUUUUAGUAAAUGCUAUGAAGUGGCCAAGCAAUGAUUUGUGUAAAAUAAAUUCAAAGUUGACUUCAUGGACUAAAUUGAUUGAAUACUAAUCUAGUAGUGAUAGUUUGAUUAAUGUUCUGCUCUUAAAUCAUCUUCAUUUCCAUAACUACAAACCAAUGCAAUUGAAGUAACUUUUGCUUUUGUGUUGUUUCGUGUGUUACGAAAAUUAGAGCCAACGUUUGGGAAUAAUUGUGUGUUUUGUGCUGCUUUGAAAUUGA